GAUGAACGCUGGCGGCGUGCUUAACACAUGCCAGUCGAACGAUGAAGCCCAGCUUGCUGGGUGGAUUAGUGGCGAACGGGUGAGUAACACGUGAGUAACCUGCCCUUAACUCUGGGAUAAGCCUGGGAAACUGGGUCUAAUACCGGAUAGGAGCGUCCACCGCAUGGUGGGUGUUGGAAAGAUUUAUCGGUUUUGGAUGGACUCGCGGCCUAUCAGCUUGUUGGUGAGGUAAUGGCUCACCAAGGCGACGACGGGUAGCCGGCCUGAGAGGGUGACCGGCCACACUGGGACUGAGACACGGCCCAGACUCCUACGGGAGGCAGCAGUGGGGAAUAUUGCACAAUGGGCGCAAGCCUGAUGCAGCGACGCCGCGUGAGGGAUGACGGCCUUCGGGUUGUAAACCUCUUUCAGUAGGGACGAAGCGAAAGUGACGGUACCUGCAGAAGAAGCACCGGCUAACUACGUG
rnacentral:rRNA from 1 species